UACGUAGGGUGCAAGCGUUAAUCGGAAUUACUGGGCGUAAAGCGUGCGCAGGCGGUUCUAUAAGACAGAUGUGAAAUCCCCGGGCUCAACCUGGGAACUGCAUUUGUGACUGUAGAGCUGGAGUACGGUAGAGGGGGAUGGAAUUCCGCGUGUAGCAGUGAAAUGCGUAGAUAUGCGGAGGAACACCGAUGGCGAAGGCAAUCCCCUGAACCUGUACUGACGCUCAUGCACGAAAGCGUGGGGAGCAAACAGG
rnacentral:rRNA from 1 species